rnacentral:lncRNA from 1 species
GGAGAAUGUGCACAAUCUGUAUGUGCAAAUAGUAAUUGUGCAGAAGGGAUUUGAGCAUCCGUGUAUUUUGGUCUCCCAUGUUGCUCUCGGAACCAAUCUCCCAUUGACAAUAGGGAAUAACUAUGCUGUAUUUCUCUAAUAUAUAGGGUUAGUUAAAUACCACAAUUAGUAAGGAAUAGAAAUUGAUAGACGAUGCCGUUUUAGUCAUGCUGUAAGCUUUAUUCUGUCUCUACAGAGUGACCAUGACAGGAAAAUGCAGAAACUCAGGAGAGUGUUUGAAGCAUAUCACAACAAAGUAGUAGAGAAGAAUGAACACUGGAAAGGUACAGUGGAGGCUCUGAUGAAGAGAAAUCGUGAGCUUCUAGAAGAAAGCAGAAGCCUUCGUCAACAAGCAAGCCAAGAGAAUGAAAAAUGGGAAAGAGAAAAGGUAGGAAAAGCGUGCAUUUUCUCCUUCUUAGUUUGAAUCCGGUAGAGUUCUAGUUAGAGGUGCUUCUUGUACCCUUGCUAUGUCAUGGCUCAAAGCUUUAUUUCCAGGUUGUGUGAAUCAUGCUUACUCAGUUUUUGAAAUAUGUAUUUUGCAGACUUGGCUUCUGGAAACUUGUACUCAGAAAAUGAAUAUUCUACAUAUCCACCAUUCUCUAAGUAAGUAACACUGCAGUUGCACUGCUGCUAACACAUUUUAUGUCCUUCGUAUCUCUAGUAGUCUGUCUGUAUUUGCCUUUAUAGAUGUAUGGUUACACUCAGUUCAUCUUGAAUUCAGAGCAGCAUCCACUCCUUCAUUCAGCUUUUGGAAAGAUGCCAAAUUUGUUUUAUUGGGUAAAUUGCUUCCAUUCACAUACAUGCACAUGAGUACACAUGCACACACACACACCCUACACACACACACCCAGAUACAUACACAUGCCUUCUACCCACCAGAAACACCAGCAGAGAAAGCUCCAACCAGACAACCCUCUCUUGGAUAACAGCUAUAGAUGUUAACAAAAUACAACGAAAAAUCCGUUAGAUGGGCCUGGAGAAUAAAUAAAAAUAAACGGAAUCUGAAGGAGAGAAU